rnacentral:misc_RNA from 1 species
UGCUCGCAUGCUCACCAUUGCUGCAAACUCUGUUGCUUUAUCGUUACUACUGGCCUACUGCUGAUGGUCUCUCUGGAUUCCAUUGAACUUUGUUUUUUGUUUAUAGCUUGGCAACUAAAUAGUUGAAGCUUGGCUUAUCUGGCUUUUCGGUGGGUUCCAACAGGUGGCGUAAUUCUUUUACCAGUAACACUAACAGUGACUAAGAUGGCAGAUAGCCAGAUAUUUUGGUGGUGCAGCCAGUGAGGGAAGGAGAAAGUGGAAAGGACUGUGUGAUUGAUGAAGACCAUAUUCAUACGACAUGUACAUAUAUUGUUGUCAUUUAGCAUUAUUUGAUAGGGGAUAUUGCAAGAAGAGUCUGAAGUGAAAUCAUAGACCUGUAGGUGAG